rnacentral:rRNA from 1 species
UACAGAGGUCUCAAGCGUUGUUCGGAUUCAUUGGGCGUAAAGGGCGCGUAGGCGGCGAGGUAAGUCGGGUGUGAAAUCUCAGAGCUCAACUCUGAAACUGCACUCGAUACUGCUUUGCUAGAGGACUGGAGAGGAGAUUGGAAUUCACGGUGUAGCAGUGAAAUGCGUAGAUAUCGUGAGGAAGACCAGUGGCGAAGGCGGAUCUCUGGACAGUUCCUGACGCUGAGGCGCGAAGGCCAGGGGAGCAAACGGGG